GACGAACGCUGGCGGCGUGCCUAAUACAUGCAAGUAGAACGCUGAAGAGAGGAGCUUGCUCUUCUUGGAUGAGUUGCGAACGGGUGAGUAACGCGUAGGUAACCUGCCUGGUAGCGGGGGAUAACUAUUGAAAACGAUAGCUAAUACCGCAUAAUAGCAGUUAUUGCAUGAUAACUGUUUGAAAGGUGCCAAUGCAUCACUACCAGAUGGACCUGCGUUGUAUUAGCUAGUUGGUGGGGUAACGGCUCACCAAGGCGACGAUACAUAGCCGACCUGAGAGGGUGAUCGGCCACACUGGGACUGAGACACGGCCCAGACUCCUACGGGAGGCAGCAGUAGGGAAUCUUCGGCAAUGGACGGAAGUCUGACCGAGCAACGCCGCGUGAGUGAAGAAGGUUUUCGGAUCGUAAAGCUCUGUUGUAAGAGAAGAACGAGUGUGAGAGUGGAAAGUUCACACUGUGACGGUAUCUUACCACAAAGGGACGGCUAACUACGUGCCAGCAGCCGCGGUAAUACCUAGGUCCCGAGCGUUGUCCGGAUUUAUUGGGCGUAAAGCGAGCGCAGGCGGUUAGAUAAGUCUGACGUUAAACGCUGUGGCCUAUGCAUAGUACGCUUGGAAAACUGAUUAACUUUACUGCAAGAAGGGAGAGUGGAAUUACAAGGGUAGCGGUUGAAAUGCGUAGAUAUAUGGGGGAACACCGGUGGCGAAAGCGGCUCUCUGGCCUGUAACUGACGCUGAAGGCUCGAAAGCGUGGGGAGCAAACAGGAUUAGAUACCCUGGUAUUCCCCACCGUAAACGAUGAGUGCUAGGUGUUAGACCCUUUCCGGGGUUUAGUGCCGUAGCUAACGCAUUAAGCACUCCGCCUGGGGAGUACGACCGCAAGGUUGAAACUCAAAGGAAUUGACGGGGGCCCGCACAAGCGGUGGAGCAUGUGGUUUAAUUCGAAGCAACGCGAAGAACCUUACCAGGUCUUGACAUCCCUCUGACCGCUCUAGAGAUAGAGCUUUCCUUCGGGACAGAGGUGACAGGUGGUGCAUGGUUGUCGUCAGCUCGUGUCGUGAGAUGUUGGGUUAAGUCCCGCAACGAGCGCAACCCCUAUUGUUAGUUGCCAUCAUUCAGUUGGGCACUCUAGCGAGACUGCCGGUAAUAAACCGGAGGAAGGUGGGGAUGACGUCAAAUCAUCAUGCCCCUCAUGACCUGGGCUACACACGUGCUACAAUGGCUGGUACAACGAGUCGCAAGCCGGUGACGGCAAGCUAAUCUCUUAAAGCCAGUCUCAGUUCGGAUUGUAGGCUGCAACUCGCCUACAUGAAGUCGGAAUCGCUAGUAAUCGCGGAUCAGCACGCCGCGGUGAAUACGUUCCCGGGCCU
rnacentral:rRNA from 1 species